rnacentral:snoRNA from 1 species
AGGACAUGUUGUGGGCAUUUUCUCAUUAACUCCUCCAUCCUCUCCCAAGCCUCAUGAAUUUGUUCACCCAGCGUUUGGGUGAAUCCAGUGAUGUCUCUUCUCAUGGU